rnacentral:lncRNA from 1 species
GUUAACUUGUCAAUUUAUUGUAAAAUAAUAUAUAAUGAUAUAAAGGUAAUUAAACCUAAAAAUAUCAAUAUAAAAGUAACAUAGGAAUACUUAUUGCAUUGUAGUUUUAAUUAUAUAAACAUAAAAAUACCAAUACAAGAUUAACAUUAAAAUGCACAUUGAGUUGGGGUCACUCUCUCAUACACGAGGAGAGCCAAGCGAAACGGUUCUCUUCCAUCCACUCCCUGAAGUCGGCGCCCUCACCUUGGUUGUGGUCCUCUAUAUGGAUGCCUUUUCCUAUCUUCGAGGUGCGUUUUCUUCUGUGAGAUCUGGUUAUGUUCGGGUUCUUGUGUUGAUCCAUGGCGUCUUCUUGGUCGGGUCCCUCGCGUGUGUUUUCUCAGUGGUUUGGUAGUGAGGUGCUUUUGGUGCAUGCUGGAGGUUUAUAGAUGGUUGGCCUCUAGGGUUUUUCUUGGGCUAUAUGGAUCUUGUGCGUUCUUGGAUUCUUGGCGUUGGGCACGAUUUUCGGUAACUAGGUUUGUUGGUUGCAAUCUAUGUUCCCAUCUCUCUGGGUUCUUUUGUGAUAGGGACAUGGGAUCCGAGUGGUGAUAGAGCCCUUACAUUUUUUGAGUAAUUUUUCAAGUGACACCCUAUACUCAAAGAUUCUCCUAGUGAGUGUAGAGUUUGCAUUGACGAGUUUACUGAUAGGGCAAUGUUCCAGUUCUCCCUGAUGUGUUCGCUGGAACGUUUGUGCGCUUAGCAUCCGAUAAAUGUUCUUACUGUGAUGAUCUUAUGUGGGGAGUUCGUCAUGCUAAGAGGCCACUCUUAAUCCCUCCGCCUUAUCGGUGAAGGGUAUGGAUUAGGAACAAAGGAACAUUCGUGCUCUUUUUGGGGUCUUUCUUUGUUUGCCCCUACGGUUUCUUUCUUGGUCUGUUCUCUAUUAUCUCUGGCCCUUGGCAUGCACUACAACUCUUGUGUUGUCUAAAGGACUAUGAUUUCUAACAAAAGGCUUCUUUUGACAUUUUGGGAUGUGUUGGUGUGCUCUUCUGCGAGGUCUGAUGUAUCUAUCUUUUGUUAGUAUUUUCUUGUUCAUUGUAGUGAUCCAAAGUGGUCCGGGUUUUAGACUACUCUAUUAGUCCAUGAUAUGUGUGGUACUCUUUCCAAC